rnacentral:rRNA from 1 species
AGCGAACGCUGGCGGCAGGCCUAGCACAUGCAAGUCGAACGAACCUUUCGGGGUUAGUGGCGGACGGGUGAGUAACACGUGGGAACGUGCCUUUAGGUUCGGAAUAACUCAGGGAAACUUGUGCUAAUACCGAAUGUGCCCUUCGGGGGAAAGAUUUAUCGCCUUUAGAGCGGCCCGCGUCUGAUUAGCUAGUUGGUUGAGGUAAUGGCUCACCAAGGCGACGAUCAGUAGCUGGUCUGAGAGGAUGAUCAGCCACAUUGGGACUGAGACACGGCCCAAACUCCUACGGGAGGCAGCAGUGGGAAAUCUUGCGCAAUGGGCGAAAGCCUGACGCAGCCAUGCCGCGUGAAUGAUGAAGGUCUUAGGAUUGUAAAAUUCUUUCACCGGGGACGAUAAUGACGGUACCCGGAGAAGAAGCCCCGGCUAACUUCGUG